rnacentral:rRNA from 1 species
CCUACGGGAGGCAGCAGUGGGGAAUAUUGGACAAUGGGCGAAAGCCUGAUCCAGCAAUGCCGCGUGAGUGAUGAAGGCCUUAGGGUUGUAAAGCUCUUUUACCAGGGAUGAUAAUGACAGUACCUGGAGAAUAAGCUCCGGCUAACUCCGUGCCAGCAGCCGCGGUAAUACGGAGGGAGCUAGCGUUGUUCGGAAUUACUGGGCGUAAAGCGUGCGUAGGCGGUGAUUCAAGUCAGAGGUGAAAGCCUGGAGCUCAACUCCAGAACGGCCUUUGAAACUAGAUCGCUAGAAUUAUGGAGAGGUAAGUGGAAUUCCGAGUGUAGAGGUGAAAUUCGUAGAUAUUCGGAAGAACACCAGUGGCGAAGGCGACUUACUGGACAUAUAUUGACGCUGAGGUACGAAAGCGUGGGGAGCAAACAGGAUUAGAUACCCUGGUAGUCCACGUCGUAAACGAUGAUAACUAGCUGUUCGGGCUCUCAGAGCUUGAGUGGCGCAGCUACGACAUUAAGUUAGUUCCGCCGUCGGGUAGGUACGGUCGGCGAAGUAAGUUAAACGUUAACGUUAAAGAAAGUUAGUUACGGCGUGAGACGUUGCCGACGGACGACGACGAGGGAGGUUAGG